AGGCACGUUCCCCUUCGGGGGACAGAGUGACAGGUGGUGCAUGGUUGUCGUCAGCUCGUGUCGUGAGAUGUUGGGUUAAGUCCCGCAACGAGCGCAACCCUUAUUCUUAGUUGCCAGCAUUAGGUUGGGCACUCUAAGGAGACUGCCGGUGACAAACCGGAGGAAGGUGGGGAUGACGUCAAAUCAUCAUGCCCCUUAUGACCUGGGCUACACACGUGCUACAAUGGAUGGUACAAAGGGUUGCGAGACCGCGGGGUUUAGCCAAUCCCAUAAAACCAUUCUCAGUUCGGAUUGUAGGCUGCAACUCGCCUACAUGAAGCCGGAAUCGCUAGUAAUCGUGGAUCAGCAUGCCACGGUGAAUACGUUCCCGGGCCUUGUACACACCG
rnacentral:rRNA from 1 species